GGAGAGGAACACUGUCCAGUCAGACUAGAAAGAAGUGGGCAUCAGAAAGAGGGUUGGCAAAGCCAAAGACUUAAACAUUGGCAUCCUGAUUCUCAAAAUAUUGACUAAACUCAUGUUUAAAUGGCAUGGAUGCAGAUCACUCUUAGAAAAGAAGCUAAUGUUGGAAGCAAUAAUGCAUGACCUUGCUGAAUUGUUUCAUAAAUCUGAAUUUUGUGGAACAUUUUAACAGCCAAAAUGUAAUAAAUGUAUGUUAUCCUUGAAGCCAAUAUUUUAUGAUUAUUCUGUAAAGACAGUUAAGAGGUGGGAGGAAAUUCACAAUUCUAUUCCAGCUUACUGCUAGCCUACAUAACUGAAGAAAUCCCAAGCCCUGUAGGAGCCAAGAAUCGCUCUUGGGUCCCCUCACUCGCUCCUAGUGGGCGGCUCCUCCCUCACACCUGGCAGUAAUCAAACCUAGACUUGAAUUAAACU
rnacentral:lncRNA from 1 species